rnacentral:rRNA from 1 species
UACGAAGGGGGGCUAGCGUUGUUCGGAAUUACUGGGCGUAAAGCGCACGUAGGCGGGUCGUUAAGUCAGGGGUGAAAUCCCAGAGCUCAACUCUGGAACUGCCUUUGAUACUGGCGACCUAGAGUCCGGAAGAGGUUAGUGGAAUUCCCAGUGUAGAGGUGAAAUUCGUAGAUAUUGGGAAGAACACCAGUGGCGAAGGCGGCUAACUGGUCCGGUACUGACGCUGAGGUGCGAAAGCCAGGGGAGCAAACAGG